rnacentral:rRNA from 1 species
UUAGUUUUAUUCUAUCUAAUAAGUUAGUUCAUUUUAAGAUCUUUAUACUUAAAUUUAUAAAAGCAUAAUAUAGUAAUAGAUAAUUCUAUUAAUAUGUAAUUACGUGAAAUUGCUUAAAAAUGUAUAUACUUUAGCUUAAAUUGUGCCAGCAGCAGCGGUUAUACAAUUGAAUUCUAACAACUAAAAACUCGAUUUGAUAAUGUAUAAAAAUUUAGGAGGUGAAAUUCUGUAAUUUUAUGAAUCAAAUUUAUCAUUUUUAAAGUUAAUAAUUAAAACAAGGAUUAGAUACCCUUUUAUUAUUAAUCGAUAUUGAGUUUGGAGAGUAAAAGCUUAUUGCUUAAAAACCAAAGAAUAUGGCGGUAUCUUAUUCUAUCAGGGGAACCUGUACCUUAAUUUGAUAGUCCACGGUUAUCAUACCUAAAUUUGAAAUCUCAGCUUGUGUACUGCCGAAUUAUAGACUUCAAAAGAUUGUCUAUAAAAAUAUAUUAAGAUAAAAAAUCAGGUCAAAGUGCAGCUUAUGUUUAGGCGGGAUUGGGUUACGUUUAUUUUAAGAUUCAGAUAAUUUUGUUUAAAUAUAAAAUUAUAAGUAGGAUUUGAAAGUAAUUAAAUAUUAUAUAUUUGAUGAAUUAGAUUCUAAGAUAUGCACAUAUCGCCCGUCACUCCUUUAUAUAGGAUAAGUCGUAACAUAGUAGGUGUAAUGGAAAUUGCAUCUAU